rnacentral:rRNA from 1 species
UACGAAGGGGGAGCUAGCGUUGCUCGGAAUCACUGGGCGUAAAGCGCACGAGGCGGAUCUUUAAGUCAGAGGUGAAAUCCCAAGGCUCAACCUUGGAACUGCCUUUGAUACUGGGGAUCGUCGAGUCCGGAAGAGGUGAGUGGAACUGCGAGUGUAGAGGUGAAAUUCGUAGAGUAUCGGGAGGAACACCAGUGGCGGAAGGCGGUGAUGCUGGGAAGAUACUGACGUGAGGUGACGAAGGCGUGGGGAGCAAACACGGAUUGAGAAACCCGUUCGUAGUCCA